GCGGCCCGCGGGCCGCAUCCGGCCCUUUGUACGUCCCUGUCCGGCCCGCGUGAGGCCAAUUAUAAAUUACAAAAUAAAUUUUAAAAAGCAUCUAUUUCGAGUGUGCAAUACAACGGUGCUGCUUUUGUUUUGAAAAGCGUUAUUUGUAUUACUUCCGUGUGGACGUAUGCUCGUGCGCGCAGCGGCAAUCUCAAAUUACAAAAUAAAUUUAAAAAAACAUCUUUGUCGUGCGUGCAAUACAACUGUGCUGCUUUUAUUUUGAAAAGUGUUAUUGUGCGUAUGUCCUGUGAGGGAAGGCGCACAGCGACUAAAAAGAGAAAAGUUGAUGACGAAUGGCGUGUUUUCAACAAGACAAGUAAAGUUCCAACCUCCAUCAUCACUGGUGUGAAGCGAAACUACUUUAAAUGGGAAUUUUCGUUCACAAUCACUCACCGGAGAGCUGCACACCUGGGACUGAUGAGGGCGAGCCGCAUAAAGGGACCAGUGAACCCAAGGAUCGGCGCGGGAACUUAGAUUUCUCAUGGUGUUCGUACCCUCCGUCGCCUGGACUGUGAGCUGUGCGUCUCACUAUUCCCUGGAUCUUCCCCUGUGUUUUGGACUGGCUUCCUCGUUUCCCGACUUCUCGCUCGCCCCCCGGACUCUGACGUCUCUCUCUGCCCCACAGACCCCUCACGCAUCUUGGACCCCUUUUGCCUUGCCCAAUUUGGACUUGUCUACUUCCUCAUCCAACAUCACGGUAAUACACAACAGCUAACUACACACA